GAUGAACGCUAGCUACAGGCUUAACACAUGCAAGUCGCGGGGCAGCAUGGGGGUUGCUUGCAAUCCCCGAUGGCGACCGGCGCACGGGUGAGUAACGCGUAUCCAACCUGCCCUUCACCACGGGAUAACCCGGCGAAAGUCGGACUAAUACCGUAUGUUGUCCAUUGACGGCAUCCGAUUUGGACGAAAGGCUUGGCGGUGAGGGAUGGGGAUGCGUCCGAUUAGCCAGACGGCGGGGUAACGGCCCACCGUGGCUACGAUCGGUAGGGGUUCUGAGAGGAAGGGCCCCCACACGGGAACUGAGACACGGUCCAGACUCCUACGGGAGGCAGCAGUGAGGAAUAUUGGUCAAUGGGCGUAAGCCUGAACCAGCCAAGUAGCGUGCAGGAUGACGGCCCUAUGGGUUGUAAACUGCCUUUAUGCGGGGAUAAAGUGGCCCACGUGUGGGCUUUUGCAGGUACCGCAUGAAUAAGGACCGGCUAAUUCCGUG
rnacentral:rRNA from 1 species